UGAGGAAUAUUGGUCAAUGGGCGGGAGCCUGAACCAGCCAAGCCGCGUGAGGGAAUAAGGCCCUACGGGUCGUAAACCUCUUUUGUCGGGGAACAAACCGGAGACGAGUCUCCGGCUGCGUGUACCCGAAGAAAAAGCAUCGGCUAACUCCGUGCC
rnacentral:rRNA from 1 species